UACAGAGGGGGCAAGCGUUGUUCGGAAUUACUGGGCGUAAAGGGCGCGUAGGCGGCCUGCUAAGUCGAACGUGAAAUCCCCGGGCUCAACCCGGGAACUGCGUCCGAUACUGGUUGGCUUGAAUCCGGGAGAGGGAUGCGGAAUUCCAGGUGUAGCGGUGGAAUGCGUAGAGAUCCGGAAGAACACCGGUGGCGAAGGCGGCCUGCUGGGCAGUUUGGCUGACACUGAGGCGCGACAGCGUGGGGAGCAAACAGG
rnacentral:rRNA from 1 species